GGGAUGUAGCUCAGUGGUAGAGCACUCGCCUAGCACAUGCCAGGCUCUGGGUUCAAUCCCUAGCAUCACCA
rnacentral:tRNA from 1 species